UGCGCUUCCUUCAAAGCAGAUCUUGGCGCAACUACAACAAAACCCAAAGAGAGAAUGGAUCACUGCCUUAGAGAGAGGAUUGGAAAUGGGAGAAAGCCAGAAGGAAAAUACAGAAUUAAAAAGGAAUUUCCCUCUAAGGAUCUUUAUCAUCCACCUGAACAGGC